rfam:Archeaon Loki Lokiarch_contig000199, whole genome shotgun sequence.
GCAGACGUAGCCUAGCUGGUAAGACGCCGGCCUUGAGCGAUUUUGAACAUCAAGAGAGCCGGUGCGCGUAAGCGCUCGGGGGUUCGAGUCCCUCCGUCUGCG